AAUCGAAGCAGUGAACUUAAGCCCCAGUAAACGGCGGCCGUAACUAUAACGGUCCUAAGGUAGCGAAAUUCCUUGUCGGGUAAGUUCCGACCCGCACGAAAGGCGUAACGAGUUGGGCACUGUCUCAACAACAGACUCGGUGAAAUUGUAAUUCCGGUGAAGAUGCCGGAUACCUGCGACAGGACGGAAAGACCCCAUGGAGCUUUCCUGUAGCUUGACAUUGGGUCUUGUUACUACAU
rnacentral:rRNA from 1 species